AGAAUCAUACUUUUCAGGAUCAUUUUUGUAGUAAAUGAUCAAUGAACAUCAGCUAAUUGAUGAAUCGAUUCAGCCAUGAUGACGAGUCAUGGCACCCUUUCCUGAGCGUGAGGAAGACUCGAGAAGUUGACUUUGUCUCACUUUCUCAGUCAUCGAUGAUCGUUCACCCCAUGCACUUAGUACAUGGGGGAUGGAAAGGGUGCUUUCUGAGUGGU